rnacentral:rRNA from 1 species
GAUGAACGCUGGCGGCGUGCCUAAUACAUGCAAGUCGAGCGAACAGACGAGGAGCUUGCUCCUCUGACGUUAGCGGCGGACGGGUGAGUAACACGUGGAUAACCUACCUAUAAGACUGGGAUAACUUCGGGAAACCGGAGCUAAUACCGGAUAACAUGUUGAACCGCAUGGUUCAACAGUGAAAGACGGUUUUGCUGUCACUUAUAGAUGGAUCCGCGCCGCAUUAGCUAGUUGGUAAGGUAACGGCUUACCAAGGCAACGAUGCGUAGCCGACCUGAGAGGGUGAUAGGCCACGCUGGAACUGAGACACGGUCCAGACUCCUACGGGAGGCAGCAGUAGGGAAUCUUCCGCAAUGGGCGAAAGCCUGACGGAGCAACGCCGCGUGAGUGAAGAAGGUCUUCGGAUCGUAAAACUCUGUUAUGAGGGAAGAACAAAUGUGUAAGUAACUAUGCACGUCUUGACGGUACCUAAUCAGAAAGCCACGGCUAACUACGUG